UCCUCGAAAUAGCUUUAGGGCUAGCCUCAAAGGGGAAGUGAGAUGGAGGUAGAGCACUGAAUGGACAAGGGGCUUAUAUAAGUUACCGAAGCCUAUCAAACUCCGAAUGCCAUACUCAUAACUUUGGGAGUCAGACUAUGAGGGAUAAGCUUCAUAGACAAAAGGGAAACAGCCCAGACCACCAGCUAAGGUCCCAAAAUACGUAUUAAGUGUAAAAGGAUGUGAAGUUACACAGACAACCAGGAUGUUGGCUUAGAAGCAGCCAUACAUUUAAAGAGUGCGUAAUAGCUCACUGGUCGAGUGACUUUGCGCCGAAGAUUUCCGGGGCUUAAAUACGUUACCGAAGCUGUGGGAUUCGCAUAUUCUUGAUUCUAGACUUAAGACAAAAAUAAGCAAAGAGGAAAUCUUUGUCGAAAACUAACCUAAAUUCUAAAAAAAGAAGUUAAAAGUUUUCGACUGGGAUUCACAAAAAGCUUAAAUAAUAAGUUUUAAGUACGGAAUCAAGAAUAUGCGAAUCGGUAGAGGAGCAUUGUGUAGUAGGAAGAAGGCAUACCGGAAGGAGUGCUGGACAAGACACAAGAGAGAAUGCUGGCAUAAGUAGCGAGAGGUGAGUGAGAAUCUCACCCGUCGAAAGCCUAAGGUUUCCUGAGGAAGGCUCGUCCACUCAGGGUAAGUCGGGACCUAAGCCGAGGCAGAGAAUGCGUAGGCGAUGGACAACAGGUUAUAAUUCCUGUACUAGUGUUAAGCGUAAUAAGAGAAGUGGGGACGCAGGAGGAUAAGUGAAGCGCACGGAUGGAAAGGUGCGUCCAAGUACGUAGGUAGGUAUUGUAGGCAAAUCCGCAAUACUGAAGAUCUGAGGUACGAUGGGGAUCGAAAAACAAGUAGAGAAGGAGCUGAAUCCACACUGCCAAGAAAAGCCACUAUCAAGCAAGACACUACCCGUACCGCAAACCGACACAGGUAGGCGAGGAGAGAAUCCUAAGACGCGCGGAAGAACCUUUGUUAAGGAACUCGGCAAAAUGGCCCCGUAACUUCGGGAUAAGGGGUGCCAGGGUAAGUGAAAUAUCCAAGCGAUAGAGUAGUGAGAACCUGGCCGCAGUGAAAAGGCCCAAGCGACUGUUUACCAAAAACACAGGUCUCUGCUAAGUCGAAAGACGAAGUAUAGGGGCUGACACCUGCCCGGUGCUGGAAGGUUAAGGGGAAAGGUUAGCCGAAAAGGCGAAGCUUUGAACUUAAGCCCCAGUAAACGGCGGCCGUAACUAUAACGGUCCUAAGGUAGCGAAAUUCCUUGUCGGGUAAGUUCCGACCCGCACGAAAGGUGUAACGAUUUGGGCACUGUCUCAACAAAGGAUCCGGUGAAAUUGUAGUAUACGUGAAGAUGCGUAUUACCCGCGACAGGACGGAAAGACCCCGUGGAGCUUUACUGCAGGCUGACAUUGGACUUUGGGAUCACUCGUACAGGAUAGGUGGGAGGCUAGGAAUCAUAUGCGCCAGCAUAUGAGGAGCCGGCGUUGGGAUACCACUCUUGUGAUACUAGAGUUCUAACCUGAUACCAUGAAACUGGUAUAGGGACACUGUCAGUUGGGCAGUUUGACUGGGGCGGUCGUCUCCAAAAGAGUAACGGAGGCGCUCAAAGGUUUCCUCAGCACGGUUGGAAAU
rnacentral:rRNA from 1 species